GUCCUCCACAGCAAAGUGUAUUCCACCCAUUUUCUUAGAGAGAGAGAGGCAAGCAUCCUAUUAUUAGACAGAUUCUCAAUGUGCCUCUCACCCCUCUGACAUUCAGACUCCUGGCUGUUAUUUUCCAGAAGAUUUUGAGCCCACUCUGCCCCUCAUCCUGUGCCUAUGAAGACCCCAGACUCAGUCAGAGAGAAAGGGAGAAGCAGCUGGACUUCUGAAAGAAGAAACUUGACUUCAGAGGGAAGACUUGAUGGCUUGAUUU
rnacentral:lncRNA from 10 species